rnacentral:rRNA from 1 species
UUGAACGCUGGCGGCAGGCCUAACACAUGCAAGUCGAGCGGAUGAAGGGAGCUUGCUCCUGGAUUCAGCGGCGGACGGGUGAGUAAUGCCUAGGAAUCUGCCUGGUAGUGGGGGAUAACGUCCGGAAACGGGCGCUAAUACCGCAUACGUCCUGAGGGAGAAAGUGGGGGAUCUUCGGACCUCACGCUAUCAGAUGAGCCUAGGUCGGAUUAGCUAGUUGGUGGGGUAAAGGCCUACCAAGGCGACGAUCCGUAACUGGUCUGAGAGGAUGAUCAGUCACACUGAUAGUGAGACACGGCACAGAGAGGAAGUGGAGGCAGAAGGGAACAAUAGGGGAGAAGGGACAGCAGCCUCAUACAGCGAUGGAGAGUGUGUGAAGAAGUGCUACGGAUUGAAAAGCACAUGAAGUGGGGAGGAAGGACAUCAACUUAAUCCUUGGCUGUUUAGACGUGAACAAAAGAAAAAGCACCCGCUAACUUCGGGGCAGCAGCGGCGAUAAUAGCACGAAGACACACGUCUGAAC